GUAUUCUGGUUUCUCUUCAAAUCGAAUAAAUCUUUCGCUUUUUAUUAAAGAUUUCCGUGGAGAGAAACACUCCUGAGUUUUCGAAGAAUUUUUUGAGGCCUUGUUUUAGCAAGGUU
rnacentral:snRNA from 1 species